GGGUGCGAUCAUACUAGCACUAGAUCCCAUUAGAACUCAGAAGUUAAGCGUGCUUGGGCGAGAGUAGUACUAGGAUGUGUGACGCCCUGAGAAGUCCUCGUGUUGCAUUCC
rnacentral:rRNA from 1 species